UGGGGAAUCUUCCGCAAUGGACGAAAGUCUGACGGAGCAACGCCGCGUGAGUGAAGAAGGUUUUCGGAUCGUAAAACUCUGUCUUUUGGGGCGAACGUGAGUAUGGUGAACAAUCAUAGUCAGUGACGGUACCAAAGGAGGAAGCCACGGCUAACUACGUGCCAGCAGCCGCGGUAAUACGUAGGUGGCAAGCGUUGUCCGGAAUUAUUGGGCGUAAAGAGCGCGUAGGCGGGAUAGUCAGUCUGUUGUAAAAGUGCGGGGCUCAACCCCGUGAUGGCAAUGGAAACAGCUAUUCUUGAGUGCAGGAGAGGAAAGUGGAAUUCCCAGUGUAGCGGUGAAAUGCGUAGAUAUUGGGAGGAACACCAGUGGCGAAGGCGACUUUCUGGACUGUGUCUGACGCUGAGGCGCGAAAGCCAGGGGAGCGAACGGGAUUAGAUACCCCGGUAGUCCUGGCCGUAAACGAUGGGUACUAGGUGUGGGAGGUAUCGACCCCUUCCGUGUCGGAGUUAACGCAAUAAGUACCCCGCCUGGGGAGUACGGUCGCAAGACUGAAACUUAAA
rnacentral:rRNA from 1 species